UACGGGGGGAGCAAGCGUUGUUCGGAUUUACUGGGCGUAAAGGGCGCGUAGGCGGCCACCGCAAGUCGAUUGUGAAAUCUCCGGGCUUAACUCGGAAAGGUCAACCGAUACUGCGGGGCUAGAGUGCAGAAGGGGCAACUGGAAUUCUCGGUGUAGCGGUGAAAUGCGUAGAUAUCGAGAGGAACACAUGCGGCGAAGGCGGGUUGCUGGGCUGACACUGACGCUGAUGUGCGAAAGCUAGGGGAGCGAACGGG
rnacentral:rRNA from 1 species